AAUACGUUUGUAUUCAAUGUGUGACUUGCGCAAACGUGUGCGUUUGUAUUCAGUGUGACUGUCAAACCUCAGACAAAACAAAGGUUGGGCGGGGUCAAGCGUUUGACCCCGCCCACAUUGAGACCCGCCCCGAGUUGCACACUGCAGUCAGCGGUGGUGGUCCAUAAACCAAGGGGUACUUCAGUCAGUGCACUAUGCCAAUGUCACUAGCUCUACCCGCAUAUGUGAUAAGGUUGACAGAAAGAACUCUGGGAGUUUAUAUUUCAUGGUCGCACAUUGAGAUUUGUUGUUGCAAGUACGAAUCGCAAUGUGUAAUUUCGCAAGCUUGUAUCGUGUGAGAAAUGUAACAAUGGUCGCAAAUGUGUAACUUGACAUUUGAAUACAUUCAAUAAGAUUUGGAAGCAUCAUUUAUUUUAAUUAUUACAAGUCAAUUUACGACUGAAUAUUCUGCAGUGCAUCAAAAAUACACUUGCAGAUAUCUGCUCGGGGGUUCUGUCACGUUACCAAGAGACUCGUGAACUUGUAGGUUUUGUUCAUUUGUAGAAAGAGAUUCGCAAUCAGCCAAAACCACCUAAUACUGCAACUAUUGGCUGGAUUGUUCUAUCAAUCACAUCUCAGGAAGUAAUUUGAAGGUGGAGGGAGUAAGAUCACUAGAAAGCAGAAAACCGCAAGACAACCAAAGGACCCUAGAGGCCUCUGCAUGCUGUGACAUGGGCCUGGAUGGUGAAACACCUGCUUCCAGCUGCCUGACUGAAUAUUGGGGCCUUCAGUUGUACCUUACAUCACAGCAAGAGUCUCCUUAUCUCUGUCUGUCAUUUAACAUGUAUUAUGUAUCCACUCAUUCAUGAAAACUGCUACAGACACAAGAACUGCACCUGAGUGAUGAUAGCCAGCUAGCUGAGCCAUCGCGUGAGAAAUCAAAUCAAACUUUGUCACAUGCACCGAAUACAAGUGUAGACUUUACCUUGAAAUGCUUACUUACAAGCCCUUAACCAACAGUGCA